rnacentral:misc_RNA from 1 species
GAAAUGCGAUAAGUAAUGUGAAUUGCAGAAUUCAGUGAAUCAUCGAAUCUUUGAACGCACCUUGCGCUCCUUGGUAUUCCUUGGAGCAUGCCUGUUUGAGUAUCAUGAAAUCUUCAAAGUAAAUCUUUUGUUAACUCAAUUGGUUUCUACUUUGGUAUUGGAGGUCUUUGCAGCUUCACACCUGCUCCUCUUUGUUCAUUAGCUGGAUCUCAGUGUUAUGCUUGGUUCCACUCGGCGUGAUAAGUUAUCUAUCGCUGAGGACACUGUAAAAGGUGGCCAAGGUAAAUGCAGAUGAACCGCUUCUAAUAGUCCAUUGACUUGUACAAUACUUUUAUGAUCUGAUCUCAAAUCAGGUAGGACUACCCGCUGAACUUGAGC